AGGAUUAACGCUGGCGGCGUGCCUGACACAUGCAAGUCGAACGAGGCCGCAAGGCCGAGUGGCGGACGGGUGAGUAACACGUGACCAACCAACCUCGAAGUUGGGAAUAGCUCUGCGAAAGUAGGGGUAAUACCGAAUGUGGCCCAGGGCGGGCAUCCGCCUUGGUCUAAAGAUUCAUCGCUUCGAGACGGGGUCGCGGCCUAUUAGCUUGUUGGUGAGGUAACGGCUCACCAAGGCGAUGAUGGGUAGCUGGUCUGAGAGGACGACCAGCCACACUGGGACUGAGACACGGCCCAGACUCCUACGGGAGGCAGCAGUGAGGAAUCUUCCGCAAUGGGCGAAAGCCUGACGGAGCAACGCCGCGUGUGGGAUGAAGACUCUAGGGUUGUAAACCACUGGUCGGAGGGGACGAUCGUGACGGUACCCUCAAGAAACGCCCCGGACUAACUACGUGCCAGCAGCCGC
rnacentral:rRNA from 1 species